rnacentral:rRNA from 1 species
GAUGAACGCUGGCGGCGUGCCUAAUACAUGCAAGUCGAGCGAACGGACGAGAAGCUUGCUCUUCUGAUGUUAGCGGCGGACGGGUGAGUAACACGUGGAUAACCUACCUAUAAGACUGGGAUAACUUCGGGAAACCGGAGCUAAUACCGGAUAAUAUUUUGAACCGCAUGGUUCAUAAGUGAAAGACGGUCUUGCUGUCACUUAUAGAUGGAUCCGCGCUGCAUUAGCUAGUUGGUAAGGUAACGGCUUACCAAGGCAACGAUGCAUAGCCGACCUGAGAGGGUGAUCGGCCACACUGGAACUGAGACACGGUCCAGACUCCUAAGGGAGGCAGCAGUAGGGAAUCUUCCGCAAUGGGCGAAAGCCUGACGGAGCAACGCCGCGUGAGUGAUGAAGGUCUUCGGAUCGUAAAACUCUGUUAUUAGGGAAGAACAUAUGUGUAAGUAACUGUGCACAUCUUGACGGUACCUAAUCAGAAAGCCACGGCUAACUACGUG